UUACUUACCUGGCAGGGGAGACACCUUGAUCCCAAAAGAGGUUUUCCCAGGGUGAGGUACAGCCACUGCACUCCAGCCNCGCUGACCCCUGCACAGGAGACUGUGUGUGUGCUUUC
rnacentral:snRNA from 1 species